rnacentral:rRNA from 1 species
AGAGUUUGAUCAUGGCUCAGGAUGAACGCUGGCGGCGUGCCUAAUACAUGCAAGUCGAGCGAACUGAUUAGAAGCUUGCUUCUAUGACGUUAGCGGCGGACGGGUGAGUAACACGUGGGCAACCUGCCUGUAAGAUUGGGAUAACUUCGGGAAACCGAAGCUAAUACCGGAUAGGAUCUUCUCCUUCAUGGGAGAUGAUUGAAAGAUGGUUUCGGCUAUCACUUACAGAUGGGCCCGCGGUGCAUUAGCUAGUUGGUGAGGUAACGGCUCACCAGGGCAACGAUGCAUAGCCGACCUGAGAGGGUGAUCGGCCACACUGGGACUGAGACACGGCCCAGACUCCUACGGGAGGCAGCAGUAGGGAAUCUUCCGCAAUGGACGAAAGUCUGACGGAGCAACGCCGCGUGAGUGAUGAAGGCUUUCGGGUCGUAAAACUCUGUUGUUAGGGAAGAACAAGUACGAGAGUAACUGCUCGUACCUUGACGGUACCUAACCAGAAAGCCACGGCUAACUACGUGCCAGCAGCCGCGGUAAUACGUAGGUGACAAGCGUUAUCCGGAAUUAUUGGGCGUAAAGCGCGCGCAGGCGGUUUCUUAAGUCUGAUGUGAAAGCCCACGGCUCAACCGUGGAGGGUCAUUGGAAACUGGGGAACUUGAGUGCAGAAGAGAAAAGCGGAAUUCCACGUGUAGCGGUGAAAUGCGUAGAGAUGUGGAGGAACACCAGUGGCGAAGGCGGCUUUUUGGUCUGUAACUGACGCUGAGGCGCGAAAGCGUGGGGAGCAAACAGGAUUAGAUACCCCAGUAGUCC